rnacentral:sRNA from 1 species
AUAAAACAAAGUUUUCUUUUGUAGGAUUCUAAGACGAUCAAAGAUGGCAAAAUGGAGUGCAAUAUUAGUGAUACUGAUGGUGGUGAUUGCUGCGUUGGCAGUAGAAGCAAAAUGGAGUGAAAAAGAUUCUAGUGAUGACGACCAAUGUUAUCGCGAGUGUAUAAAGUCUUGCAGGAAACACGACGACGGCGAUUGCUUUGAAAUGUGCAGAGCGAUGUGCCCAAUUACCGCUCACCAUAGUUCAUCACGGUACUAUAUACUUUCUCUACCCAAUUUCUAUAAAUAUUUAAUUUCUUAAUUAACUAAUUUUGGUUUUUGUGUUUACAAAUAUAUAACUUAACUUACGAAUUGUUCUAAUUUUAUGAUAUAUAUGCAUGGAUAGAAGAAUCCCACAUGGGAUGGAAUCAGUGGAAGUUGGCGGAAGGAGAAAAUGAU